rnacentral:rRNA from 1 species
CGACGUGAGGAACCUGCCUUGGAGAGGGGAAUAACACUCCGAAAGGAGUGCUAAUACCGCAUGAUGCAGUUGGGUCGCAUGGCUCUGACUGCCAAAGAUUUAUCGCUCUGAGAUGGCCUCGCGUCUGAUUAGCUAGUAGGCGGGGUAACGGCCCACCUAGGCGACGAUCAGUAGCCGGACUGGGAGGUUGACCGGCCACAUUGGGACUGAGACACGGCCCAG